rnacentral:lncRNA from 1 species
UGGAUUCUCAUCCAAUAUUGCCCAUGUUGUCUGCAAACGUUGUAAGAGCCCAUAUUUUUGGGCCUAGGCUGGCCUCUGGGCCAUGGCGCUUGCUCGACCCUUGUGGCAUGGGAGGAAGACUCCUGAUUGGAGUCUUCCUCUUCUCCUUCUCGAUUUUCCCCUUUGAUUCUACCGGAGGAGGAAGGUCGUAGCUUACUAAAAUGCUGCCAAUCCUCGUCUAUAAAAGACCCCCUUCCUUCUCUUCCUUGGCAUCAACCUGGGAGCUCUUCCAUUAGAGAUUUAGAGCUUUGAUCGCUAGGUGAUCCGUGGGAGAAGCUCGGAGUGUUCACCAUUCGACUAGCCGGAGAAGCUCGCCGGAGGCAAGGUGAGCUCCCUUUCCUUCUUCUCUUCGGUCUUUGGGCCUCUAUUCUCCUUGAAUCCAGUCGACAAGCUGCCGGAUUGAUGUGAAGCCGGACUCCCCUCUUCGGUCUAUUCUAUUUCGUUUCGGCCAGUCGUCGCCAAGCUUGGCACACCGCCGGCACCUCUGAGGCCAUCGACCAUGGGGCAUCGUCGACCAUGGGCCGUUGUCGUCGAACAUCCCCUUCAGUUAGGAAGAAGGAAGAAAGAGAGAGAGAGGGAGGGAGAACCACCCGAUUCUCUCCUCUUUUCUUGUUCUUCUCUCCCCUCUCUCUAGUUUCUCUCUCUUCUUGUUGGGGUUUCUUAUCUCUAGUUUGUUCCAGAGAGAUCUUUGUUUGUAAGGACUGUUGGAUAGUCUUGGAAUGCAAGGUGGUGGGGGACCUUUUAGAGAAUAAAUUGAGGAUUCUGGGUUAUCAGAUACUCUAGAUAAUUUUUAAUGUUGACUUGGUUCUGUAGGAGAAUAAUUUAUUAGACAAGAGGAUGUUGAGCAAGGUUCUACACACCCUAGUUCGUAGAUUGCAGUGGGUAGGUGAUUGAUCUGUCUGGUUAUCAGCAAAGAGAUAAAAAUCCUUGUACAUCAACUUGCUUGAUAUAAAUAUUUUUGUACCUAUAUAUGUAUGACGUGUUAAUGAUCAAGAUAAGUAAGAAGCAAUAAUAAUUUUAUGAUGGUUUCUAUAUUAAAUAUUAUUUUGAUCAAGUAUGCUUGUGAUUAAUGGUAUAAUAGAUACAUAUAUGAGCAUAACUUACAUUCCAUGAGAUGGUCUUGAUAAAUCCAAAUAUCUGAAUUGCAUUCAGCCAUAUGAUUUUAGAGUUUUUAUCUGAUUAAAGUAUUAGAGGCACCCAAACAUAAUGGAAUUUUAGGCAUAUAAUUUGACAAAUAGAAUCUUUUAAAGUUUGAAGCCUCAUUUUUAUAGUAGAUAAUCACCUUCAUGAAUCCUUUAUAUAUAAUAGACUUAGAUAUUUUGUCUUCCCAAUGAAUUAACGGAAAUAGUUAAUACAGAUAGAGAGGAAUGGCGUCAAUAACAGAAGUGACAUGUAUGCUAUCAAAAGAAAAAAAAGAUGAUUGAUGUAGAUGCACCCACAAUUGUAGUCAUGUGAUCAUUACUAGGUCAAUUUACUGGAUCUUGCUAUGGCAGCAAAUAAAAAUAAAAAAUAAGAAUUUUCUAACUAAAAAAAUAAGAAACUCCUCUUCUAGAAUGAACAAAUGACAACGAGAAAUAGAGGUCAAUGCCUUUGUAGAAAUCAAGGGCUACUUAUUAACAUUUCCAACAAUGGUUAAAUCCCUGAACAAGUCAUUUCUUCUUUGUCUUUCAAACCUCGAUUACAUAUUUAUAUGUGACCUUUCUAUUUAUACACAUAUAUAUGGUCAUGCCAUACAAUACUACAGAGGCUCCAACUAUUAGGUUGCAUUGUUCAAGAUGGCUUAUUUGAAAUGAUCGUCACAUUGCAUCUCUAAUUGGGACUUCUUAAAGACCACCAAGUCCCAGGAAUGAGGCUAUGAGGCACGUUUGCACGGGCAUUACACAAAGUGGCGCAUUAAAGAACGUGCUUUACAAAUUAUAUUGUAUCUUAUCUUAUGAUAUAAUCAUUUUCAUCUCAACUCAACUAAGUCUUAAUUCCAAACUAGUUAGGGUUGGCUUCAUGAAUCCUUUUAUACUAUUCCAGUUGGUUUAAAGAUAUAUUCUUUAAGAGAUGUUGAAAUGUCAAGUCCUUCCUUACUAUUUCAUAUCACAUGAUUUUUGGUUUACCUCUAUUCCUUUUUACUUCUACAUAUAUCAAACUACUCCUUCAUACCGCUGCAUCCCUCAACCUAUAUUGUAUAUAUCUAACCCAUCUAGUUUGUCUUUCUCUCAAUUUCUCCUCAAUUAGUGCUACAUCCACCAUAUUAUGAAUAGCUUCAUUUUUUAUUCAUCAUUCCCUCGUAUUACCAUACAUCCAUUUCAAUAUUUUAAUUUUGACCACACCUAUCUUGUGCAUAUGUUAUUUUCUAGUUUCUUAAUUUUGUACCAUAUAACUGGUCAAAUGGCUAUCCUAUAAAACUUUUCCUUCAACUUGGCAAAUAUUAUAUAAUCACAUAAUAUCGAGUUAUGCUUCUCCAUUUUAUCCAACCUGCUUUAAUCAUAUUGGAUAUCAUUCUCUUCUCCCCUUUAUAAAUAAUCAAAUCCAAAAUAUCAAAAUUGAUAUCUCUUAGGUACUGCAUGAUCCUUAGUUUCAGACCACCUUCAUCCUAAUUUCUAAUUUUAUUAAAAUCUCAUUCCAUGUAUUCCAUCUUGUCCUACUUAACCUAAAAUCCUUCAAUUCUAAUGCGCUCUUCUAUUAUUCUAACUUAUGAUCGACCCCAAUAUUAGUUUCAUCCACUAAGAUUAUAUCAUCCGCAAAUAGAAUGCUUGGGAAUGUUGUCCUGAAUAUGCCUAGCAAGUGCAUCCAUAACUAGUACAAAAAAGCAAGAAUUUAGAGUAGGUCCUCAAUAUCAACUAAACCUAUUAUGAUUAGAAACUUACUAAUAUUACUACUAAGAGUUUUCAUACUAGUAACUGCUGUACCAUACUUGUCCUUAGUCACACGAAUGGAAACUCCAUUCUUUUCUAACAACCACCAUAAGACUUCUUUAGGAACUAUAUAUAUAUGCUUUCUCUAAAUCAAUAAAAAUAAUAUAAAGAGUUUGUCUCUUUUCUCUAUACUUCUUCAUUAACCUCCAAAGGAGAAAAAAGUUCUUUUGUCGACCUUCCUGGCAACAAAAAUGAAGGGAUGGAUCUUUUGUUUUCUUUUUUCCGCAUUAUGUUGCUUAGGAUGGCCUUAUAUACAAGGCUAAGAUAUAGUAAAAUAUGUUAUUAUAUGUUGACCCUAAAGAAUUAAUUCUGAUGAUGUAAAAUAGUUGAGUUAAAAGUUGACUAAUCUAUUACCUUGAGUAUAAUUGAUUAAUUUUAGGAAGCAAGAAGAAAGCUUUUAGCCACUCUCAAGUAAGUAUCAUCCAUCUGAAGCUCCGUAUCAAUAAGCUAACUCCAAAAGGCCAUGAUAGCUUUUUUUGGAAGCUCACAUAUAAAGACAGAAGAUUUCAUCUUGAGCUGCCUCAAGAGUCGACUUGAAGCCUGCAACAAGUCGACCCUAGCACACUGUCACUAACUGACGCACCUUCACGAGCCAACUCCAAUAGAUUGUGCUCGACCCUAGAAUAGUCUUAAAGGACAGACAAAAAGUCACAAAAUUUAUUAUAUUGAUGAGUCGAUCUAUGAAGUACUCGAGCCGACUCCAACUUAGCACGAGUCGACUCCAGACAAAAGCGAGUGGACCCAGAAUGAUCAUAGAGAAAAGACAAGGAGUUGAAAAAAUUAUCGUAUUGGCGAGUCGACCCAUGGAAUUCAUGAGCCGACUCUACUCAGACUCAAGUUAACCCCAAAAAGAGACAAGUCGACACUAGAAAAGACAUAGGAGAAAGAUAGCAGUAAAAUUUAGUCUGUUGAAGAGUUGACCCCUAAAAGCAACGAGUCGACUCCUGAUAAUCUCAAGUCGACCUCUAAAAAUCUUGAGUCGAAUCUGAACUGAGAGAGAUGACUUGAAAAGUGCCACAAACGAAAAUAGAGUAGAGCAAAAAUAGAAGCAAGCUCGAGACGACUCAUGAAGAUCAUGAGUGAACUUCUGAAAAUUUCGAGUCGACCCCUCUGCGCUUGACAACUAUAACUGCUAGUUUUCCUAUGAAUCAAAAUAGUUGUUUUUAUCUCAAACGUCUCUAUUAAUUGUCUAAUGGCUAGAAAAGUGUUCCAACUUCUCCAAAGUGUAUAAAUUCAUAGGAACACCAAAAAAAAUAUGAACUUCAGCACUAUAAAGAAAAAUCUAAUAGAGCCCAGAGAAGAAAGCUAAAAAGAGAGAGCUGCAAAGAGAAAAUCAUUUAAAAGCUUUCAUUAUGAGCUGAAAUACUAUAUAUUCAACAUCAGAGAAUUGGUGAAGCGCCUUCAAAAGUAUUCAAGUCAACCAACAGAGUGUAACUCUAUUUAUUAUUUUGUAUUUACUGUCUUGGAGCUAUAUUCAUGGCAACAAUAUUUACUUCUUUCUAUUCUUUGCUGUAAUAAGUUUCAAGGAUUGAAACUUGAGGAAAAGGUCCAUCUAACCUUGAAUUGGAUUAUGUUGAGCCUAGGAUAGGCUCGAAGAAGGUUUUGGUUGAUUGCCAAAAAAAUCAACUAGAUUGAUUGUGAACCUGAAAAACAACUGGGCUGUAAUUUGAGUUAUAGAUUAUAGUAAAUUGUUUAGGAAAAAGAUCUUGGAGAGUGGAUGUAGGUGUAGGUUUACACUGUAUCGCUAUUAUUUUUUUGUAUUUGCGUUGAUUGCUUUACUUGCUUUUAUCUUCAACACAUUUACUUAUUAGUUUGUUACUAAAGUUUAUCUUCUUCUUUCAGGCAUUUAAUUUCGCUACAUUAGUUAAAGUUUUUGAAAAAUCUAAUUCACUCUCUUCUUGGGCUGCAUAACUGGGCAACAUUAUAUAUUAACAAUUUGCUUUAGGAGCAUCCGAGAUAUGCAAUAUAUGACCUUAUAAAAUUGCAGAAGCAAUUUCAAAUGCUAAAGUCCUGGAUUUCCUCUUCUCUCCAGAUCUUUUCUCUUUUUUUCUUUCCAUUUCUCUCAUUGAUGACAAUAGCUGGGUAUAAGAUCUGAAUGAAGAGGUCGUCAGGGGCAUCAAUAUCUUCUCUCCUCAUUUUACUAAUUAAACAAGGACUUUCGUCAGGCAAGUUCGAUUAGAUGCAAUCAGAUUGUAUCCACUCUUACCAUAUCCAUAUUAGAUAGCUUGAGUUAUAAUGUCUGAAUUUGGCAUCAAAACCUGACAUAAAAGUUAGUACUCUGGAUACCAGCAGAUUCGAUACUCGAAUUUGACUUGAGUAUAUGUACGAUUCAGGUCUAGACUAACCAAAUUGGACCCUAAGGUAUGGAGGCUGUAAAAUCAAAAUCGGCAACUCUACUACCUUGGUUUACCACAUGAAUUCAACUAAGUUUAAGAAGACUCUUGCAACUUAUUAGAAUCUAAUCAUGAAGAUCAACCCUCUCUAUUAUCCUCUCAGAUUCUUUCUUCAUUGCCAUGAAGUUUGUGCAACUAGGAACUUAAAAGUAAAAAAAGCUUUAGCACCAGGUCAUUAAAAGACAAAUCUUCUAUGUAGGAAGAAGAAGAAGAAGAACAAGAUAAACUUCAGAGCAAGUAGAACCUCAUGAUUAAACACUCCUACUUCAACAACAGACAUUUUUUAUGAGGUGGUUCCAACUUGCCCAGGUAAAGAGACUAUGGAUCAAAAAUAUCAAUAGAAAAUAAAACUCUAGUACAACAAAAUCAAGAAGAACUGAGAAGUUGGUUUGAGAAAUCACAAAUCCAAAGAGAACAUACAUAAAUCCCAAUCAGCCUAGGACAACACUUUGCAUUCUUUUUUGAAAUGACAAAGAGGGAAAGGGAAAUUAAAUGGACAGGUGGAGAUUUGAAAUAGUAACUUGCAAUUAGACUUCAGCAAACUAAACCUGAUCCACUUGUCCAGGCCCGAUUUUUUUGCCCAGCUUGGGCUUUGUCUUCUUAAAAUUAGCCUGGCCUAGAGUAUAUGAUAUAUUAUACAUAAUGUUGUUUUAUAAUAAUCUAUGAUAUUAUUUAGUUGUUAUUUUAAUUGAAAAAGAGAAAAAAAGGCUAAAGGGUGGAAAUUGGGAUAACUUAAAUCCGUAACCCGUAAAUCACCUUCUUCCCUCCACAUAUCCAACUUAUUUUUGAAUUUAAAUACUAAGUCACCCCUCCGCCUCCCCCCCCCCCCCCCCCAAAAAAAAAAAGAAAAAAGAAAAAGCAAUUUGGCUCUUUUUGAAUCUCACCCAUAUUUGUAUAUAACUUCUUUCAUUAUGGACGAAUGAUGUAAAGAUCCAUUUUUUACAUAAUUUUAUAUCAAUACUGAUAUUAGUAAUUUCUUGAUAGAACAUGAAAACUUUUCCAUUCAUUGUAUUUCUCCCUUAUCUUUGUAGCUUCUAGCUAGUAAGCCAUUUGUAUUUCUUGAUGUCGUCAUUGGAUUUGACAUAGCAUUAUGUGACAUCGGUCUUUCCUGUCAGCAUUGAAUUUAACAUACAUGCAGAAAAUGCAAUCAUUUUUUUCAUUAUAACUAAUGAAAAGUUUACUUAGGAAUACUAUUGGAGAAUUUCUGGGAUAAAAGAUCUUGAUCUACAAAUAUGUUAGCAAGAUUUUUUUUCAUAAAUUAGUCUUUAAGGAUAGGAGUUACAUUUAAAAAGAAUUAGAAAAUCAGAGUUAUAUAACGAAGUUUUAGAAUAUUAUCAGAAAAAUAAUUAAUAGAGAUAAUAGAAUUUAAAAAGAAAAUCAGGAAAAACAAUUCGAUCAUUAGCUACACGAUUGAUGGUGGUUGCUAAAAUAUUUUGAAAAUGUUUUGCGAGCAAAUAGUAACAUGCAAAAGCAUUGAGUUUAUUCCAACAAUGGAGCUCAAAGCAUUGGUAGCUCGAGAUAAGCCUCUUUUUUACAUGGAGUCCAAGAGCUUGUCACUGUCUAGACUAUACCAGAGGGAGGGAGACAGAAAGCUGGGGGGUGGGGGCGAGAGAGAGAGACGCAAGAAAUUCAUGGAUCUUCUAGGCAUUCUAGACAUUUCUUAUGGAAGCCAAUGGAAAUUUCAGAGAAGCUAUUCAAUAUAAAAGAUGGCACAUGUGAAAGGAGGAAAAAACAAAAGCAUGUAUGCUAGAUAAGACAAAAACAUUCACCCAGAUACCUAGUAACUGGUUGCCAAUUGAACAAAAUAUAUAUUGAUAUAAAGGGAUUCCAACAUAUUUUUGCUUAUAUGAGUAAGGAUUCAUUAUUAUGUCCAACUUUCCACAUGGAAAGAAUCACUAUUUUAGAAGCAACUAAGCAGCACCAACAUGCCCUAUUUCCUUAAUAAUAUUAUGCACUCAAGCUAUCAAGACAUCCAAUGAUAUAAAAUAAUAGGAAAAGAACUAAAUAAGAGUAUAAACAUUCAGAUGUAAACAUAUGAACAAGAGAUUAAGAACAAAAUUACGACAAUCUAAUAGUAAUCCCACUUGCACGUGGUUUGAACAUGCAUUUCGGCAAAAAUGUAUAAAACAGAAAAAUUAUACUAUUCUGUUAUCCUUUCUCUUAUUUAACAAACUAAGAAUUCAUGAUAACAAUUUGUUUGAAAGAGAUAAUCAAAGUGAAUAAACUUUGAAUGACAUUUUCCUAUAGCUUAGACUAGGACAAAAUAUAACACUGAAGCUCUCGAUCAUAAGUGAUUUUUCCUUACAAAAAAGAUUAGAAUAUUAUAACUUGAAACUGUUGCUUCAUCAUUUACGUAUGCAUUAUUUGGAUAAGCAGCCAAAAUAAUGAUCAAGUGGUAAUUACCAUGAAUUUGAAUAGUAACAUAGGAACAAAAGUAUGUAUCACUCAAGGAGUAUAAACCCUAUUUCUUCAGCUUUCUAUGAUUAGAGUGAAUGCAACCGCAAACAAGCACCUCGAGCACCAUCUUCACGUGCACAUGGUUAAGUUUUACAUAUAGACAAUUAUAGUGAUACAUGUGCACAGCACAAAUUCCCUAAAUUGCAUGACAAAAAUGAAUAUGCACCAGCACCUAUAUAUAUGUGUGUGUGUGUGUAUGUAUAUGCGCGCGCGCGCGCGCGCGCGCGCACACACNNNNNNNNNNNNNNNNNNNNNNNNNNNNNNNNNNNCACACACACAUAUAUAAUAAUGUAUAUAUGUAUAUUUUCAUGAAGCUACAAAGCAUAGAGUAAGACAACAACGGGUAAGGGGAGGAUCUAAAGAGGCAACUAAAUGUUAUGGCAGAAUAGGGACGAAAGUGGAUAGGAUAAUAUAUGUCCGGAUCUAUUUUCGUAUCUUAAUCUGUUUGGAUAGGGAUAAAAAUUUGAGAUUUCGACUAAUAUCUGUAUUCAUAUCUGUAUCCGUCAAAGAAAAAUGAAUUUGCCACAAAUACGACAAUCAGGACAAUGCAACAUCGUCAAUAUCUUCAAAAAUUUUCUCAAGUAGUAGUGAGAGAUUAUCCUAGUGGGAUGCAACCAUGAAUUCAGCAACGGAGUAUUGAGCUUGACAUGAAAUUUGAACCGCUGGAAAGAGCUUUGGUUAAACACUCAUUUUGGGCCAGCCAUCGAUGAAACCCAGUAUGACAGAUCAAGCCUGCUACUAUCAAGUGACCUUGAGUGCUGCGACAUGCGGAGAUAUUUGCAAAAUAGCACACGCACCUUUCCUCCAUGAUCGGGCAUACCAAUUACAACCUGAAAAGUAUGAGCGGAUUGUUAGAAAUUAAUUUGUAAUUCUAGAAGCUUACAAUUAAUAUGAGUAAAUUUAAGAGUUAUGUAAUUCUGGUAUUUAAUGCUUUGGAAAGUCAAAGAGACAUCUUAAGUAAACUAAGAGUCAUGGAGAUCAAAAAAUCAUUCUUGAAAAGCUAUUAGAUAUCACUACACUAUCAAAUUUUUCAUGCCACUAUUUUGGAGUCUUCUUCUCUGACCUGUACAAUGAUUUAAUAGUCUACAUAUUUUAUGUUCUUGUCCUGGAACUACAAACAUUCAUGGACCUUUAAUUCUCCAUAUAACAAGGCUAUUUUAACAGUCACCUGAGGGAUACAAAUGGAUGCUACAGCAAUUAAGGCUCUUAUUGUGGUGCAACAGAUGAGUAAGUAUCAAAAUAUUCAAUCCCCUUAUGUUGUAUAAACUAACCUAGCUUUAAAUCCUUUCAACUAUAACAUUGGGUCCCAGUUUCCUUCUCAAAAGCCACUUGCAUCCAAUGGUAAAAAUCUAGAGCUAAAUCAAUUAAUUCCCAUAUAUUAUUAGCCACUCUGGAAUCCAUUUCAUUUUUAUUGCUUCUUCCACCAAAAAUGCUUCUUCCACCAAAAAGGAGAAUAUAUAGAUGACACUGCCUCAUGAAAGGCUAGCAGGAUUACUUUCCACUAGAUAGAUAAAUAACUCAUUACCUAAGUUUGGUUCUCUUCUAUUACAUUUACUUCUAGGUUCAACUAUAUCAUUAUUUUUCUUAGAUGCAGGAACAGAAAGAUCCUAUUUGGUGGGGGCGCUUGGAGAGCUUUCUAUAUUCACUUCCUUCUCAAGAAGCCAUUGAUUACCUACAAGGUUUCAGGAUUGGGGAGCUUGGUGGCUGUAAGAUUGUACCAGGAUUUUGUUUUAAUUGUUUAACAAAGAUUCACUCACUAAUAGUCAUGGGUUUGAGAUGUUAACAUAAGUCAGAAAUACAUGAAAGAUCAUAUAAGAUUA